rnacentral:rRNA from 1 species
AUUGAACGCUGGCGGCAGGCCUAACACAUGCAAGUCGAGCGGAGCGGCGGACGGGUGAGUAAUGCCUAGGAAUCUGCCUGGUAGUGGGGGAUAACGUCCGGAAACGGGAGCUAAUACCGCAUAAUAUCAGAUGAGCCUAGGUCGGAUUAGCUAGUUGGUGGGGUAAAGGCCUACCAAGGCGACGAUCGGUAACUGGUCUGAGAGGAUGAUCAGUCACACUGGAACUGAGACACGGUCCAGACUCCUACGGGAGGCAGCAGUGGGGAAUAUUGGACAAUGGGCGAAAGCCUGAUCCAGCCAUGCGGCGUGAGUGAAGAAGGUUUUCGGAUUGUAAAGCACGUUAGGUUGGGAGGCGGUACCUACAGAGUAAGCACCGGCUAACUUCGUGCCAGCCGCCGCGGUAAUAC